ACGCUCGACACCUACGGGAGACAGCAGUAGGGAAUCUUCCACAAUGGACGCAAGUCUGAUGGAGCAACGCCGCGUGAGUGAAGAAGGUUUUCGGAUCGUAAAGCUCUGUUGUUGGUGAAGAAGGAUAGAGGUAGUAACUGGCCUUUAUUUGACGGUAAUCAACCAGAAAGUCACGGCUAACUACGUGCCAGCAGCCGCGGUAAUCUGAGCGGCUGGCAAGGC
rnacentral:rRNA from 1 species